AUGCUAAAGCUCAUUAAGUAUGUGUUUCCAUUGGAUUGUAAGACCAACUAUCACGAAACAACCACAAAAAAUCGAAUAAGAACUUUUGGAGGUGGUUUUUAUCAUGAUAUGAUAUUAUUCAAUGCAUUUAUAGUUUAUAUUAAUAGCAUAAGAAAAAGUUAUUAUACCUUUUGAGCUUCUGAUAUCCAAGAAGCCAUUAGGAUUGUGAGAAAUGCUGCGGAUAGAUGUGCAUGGCCAUGGUUUUAUAAAUUGGUUUUCUACUUUUCUGUUAUUCUCUCACUACCAUGCUUUUGUAAAUUUGUUCUCUAGAUUGCACACUACAAAUUUCUUUUGUGGCUCAAUAUCAAUUCGAUGGCCUUUCAAACGAAAACUUCUAGCAGAGCAGGAAGUAUUAGAAAAUAGAUUUCCUUCUAUUGCAGGCAGCAAAAUUUUAGGAAAAAGCACUCAGACAAAGUUAAUUAGUUAUAUAUAGUACAUUUUUGGAAUACGAGUUUGACAAACUUACAAAUUUACAAUAAAUAGUGAAAUGAUUUGCUUCCCAUAUUUAUAAUAUCUCUACAAAUUUACAUGUGAUUUGAAUUUGCAGAUUACAUUUAAUUUGAAUUUUCAGAUUACACGAUAGUAUCAUAUCAAUCUCCAUGAGAUAAUGAUUGGCUUGACUGAGGAUUAUUUGCUGAUAGAGUUUGAAUUUUGAAACAGUCUGGUUUGAAUUUGUGUUUUAGCUGUAAUUGCAGGAGAGGGAGAGGAUAAGGCUAAGAAUGAGGUUGUUUCAAUACAUAAUGCCUCUACUAAAUGUGCACUAGAAGCAUAAUACUAUGAUUCAUAUUGGAGUGCGCCAACAACCCCCCACCCCCCCCCCCCCCCCCAAAGGUAAUCUAGCUCAGAAUGCAUGUAUCACGUGGAUGAACCAUAAAAUAAAUCUCUUUAAAAGCAAUCAUAUAAUUUAAGUCUUUAAGUACAUUUUAGAGAUUUGGGGGGAAAAACAAGUUGAUCCUUGCCUCGCAGCACAAGUUCAACACAGUACACCAAAAUCUAUUAGAAGCCUCAAAAACAAGACAACAGAGAAUUGGUAAACCGAAGGCAAUGAAAUGAGAUGCUAGACUUACCAGAGAAGAAAAAUCUAUUUAAAAGAAUCUCAUAUUUCUUUGUUCCUCUAUAGAGGCAAAGAAGCAAGAGGAGAGAGUUAGUCCCAAGGCACAGAACAGGACAAAAGCCCCAAAAAGUAUCCAAGGUAUCAAAUGCAUACUUAUAUAUAACUAAUCAACCUUCAAUGUUGAGCAUUACCUUCAUCAAGUUCAAAAACCAAACACAUUUGAUUUGAAUUCUUCUUGAUCAUCUAUAUAUGGCAGAACAAAGGCAACCAUUUCGCUUUCGGCUCCCCUGGCUAUCAACACCUGCUGCUCCAGCCCCACGCCCAGCUACUCAAUCACAACCCCCUCGUCCUCCAGUUCAAACACAAACAUCUACACAGCCAACCACUACAACUGUCCCCUCUCAGAGACCACCAUUUAGGCCUGCAGGGAUAGCCCCAGCACCCCAAGUCACUUCCCAAGCUCAAGCACCUCAAAGAACUGAACCCCAGCAACCAUCACAAUCUCGUGCAACCACCCAACCCCAAGUCACUUCCCAACCAGCAUCAACACCAUCUCGUUCAACAACACAAACUCAAGCUGCUGUGCCACCACCAUCUCGUGCAACCACCCAACCCCAAGUCACUUCCCAACCAACAUCAACACCAUCUCGUUCAACAACACAAGCUCAAGCUGCUGUGCCACCACCAUCUCGUCCAACCACCCAACCCCAAGUCACUUCCCAACCAGCAUCAACACCAUCUCGUUCAACAACACAAGCUCAAGCUGCUGUGCCACCACCAUCUCGUGCAACCACCCAACCCCAAGUCACUUCCCAACCACCAUCAUCACCACCUCGUUCAACAACACAAGCUCAAGCUGCUGUGCCACCACCAUCUCGUGCAACCACCCAACCCCAAGUCACUUCCCAACCAGCAUCAUCACCAACUCGUUCAACAACACAAACUCAAGCUGCUGUGCCACCACCAUCUCGUGCAACCACCCAACCCCAAGUCACUUCCCAACCAGCAUCAUCACCACCUAGUUCAACAACACAAACUCAAGCUAUUGUGCCACCACCAUCUCGUGCAACCACCCAACCCCAAGUCACUUCCCAACCAGCAUCAUCACCAUCUCGUUCAACAACACAAACUCAAGCUGCUGUGCCACCACCAUCUCGUGCUACCAACGGGUCUCGGAUCACUUCUCAACCAGCAUCACCAUCCCGCACAACAAAUCAAACCCGGAAUGUAGCAUCUCUGCCUUCAUCACCAUCACGGGCAGCACCUCAAUCACGAGCUUACUCUGUGCCCCCAUCACCAUCUCGCACAUCUCAAACACAACCAGCAUCGCAGACAGACCCCCAGCCUGAGGCUCCACCUCGUUUGUCCUCUCAACCUGCUGGCCGAACAACAUCACAACCUUCUUCUCCAUCUCUCACAACCACUCAGGUACAACCAACUGGUACAACAGAUUCACAACCUAAAAUUCAAGAAAGCUCUCAGCCUACUCCCACUUCUACUCAAUCUCCGUCUCUCAUGACCACUCAGGUACAACCAACAGGUCCAACAGAUUCACAACCUACAAUUCAAAAAGCCUCUCAGCCUACUCCCACUUCUACUCAAUCCCCAUCAUCUGUAUCUGAGCAAGAGCCAAAGCCAGUAGUUGUGUCUCAGCCACCAUCACAGGAACCUCAACCAAAGGCACAAGUUCCAUCUGAAACUAUUUCCAAACCCCAGAACCAUACACCAAUUGAAACCUCCUCUCAACCUGAUGGAGUGGCAACACAGCCUACAAAAGUUUCCCCAGCUUCUAUAGAAGCCACAGAAACACUUGCUCCAACCAAGAAAUUAGAUUCUAAGCCCCUCCCAGAGAAAGAGUCAGAGGAAAGUCAAGUUGGGAAGAAAGUAGUGCAAGAAAAAAUUGAAGAAGAAAAGAAAAGUGGACCAGCUUAUGAAGAACCAGCGAAGAGAACAAUCGCUGAGCUUGUUAGUUCAGCAACAGCUGGUUUAGAAACACAGGCUAAAGACCUACAAAGUUUUGUAUUUCAAGCUAAACAUAAGCAGCAUGAGGAGAGGGAAGAAACUUUUGAGAGAAAGGAAACAGUUGUGACCACCAGCUCUAAUGCAAAACAGAUCAAAACUUCGAGUUCAGUGCAUCCAAAGGGCAGGCACACAUCAAUCAGAUCAACAACACAAAAGCCGAGUGCCAUCUCCAGUGGGGGACAAGUUCCUCCAUUCCAUGACGAGGUCACAAAAGAUAUUUCCAGAUUUGUUCAAAAACUAGCCAGUGGCCAUCAGAUGGAUGAAAAUCCAGUUAGUAUCAUAACCUUAACUGGUGAAAACAGAGGAGCAACAAUGCACUUAAGCUCAGAGCUGGCCGAAAAAGAAGAAGCUGUCCACAUUCACCGGGGUUAUAAGCUCAACCCAGAUGAGAGCAUCAAUGACACUACUGAUAUAGAGGGAAGCUCCAAGGACAAAGUGUCCAAAGAGAAUUUUCCAUCAUGGCUACAUGUGAAUAGCAAUGUACAGAGUAUCAAUAACUCAAUUGUGUCUGACACUUCUUUCACAGCAAGGAGUCCUGGUGUUCAUUGUGCUCUAUCUCUUGAUCAAGCAGACUCAAAUGGUAAACCGAAACUUCUUGAAACACGCAAGGCUGAGUUCAAUGUCACCCCGGCUGAGAAGCACACAUAUGAGCCUACCGUUAAAAGACGGUGCCUCAGAGGCCUUUUCAUGGAAUCUAGUGACUCAGACCCAGAUAAUCCUGAAAAGCCUCGUCGUCAUGGUUGCCGGUAUAGUUGUGGGGAUCAGAAGAACAAAGAGAAAGACAUUGGAGUUCAAUGA
rnacentral:sRNA from 1 species